rnacentral:lncRNA from 1 species
CUUAUAUGAUUACCUUGAAUGUGAUUUGGAACGCUUUCCUAAAUCUCAUUCAUAGUUUGGCCAAAGAUUCUUAAUCAUAUCAUAGAGUAUUCUCCCUCAAACGGUUUGAAGGUUAGAGAUCCCUUGUUGCACAUUCAUAUGCUUACAUGACUAGAUAGCUUGACCCCAACAAUGCCGUGGACACUCCAAUGGAAUGCCGUUUGACAUGAUCAAAGAUCAAGGACCUAACCAUUAGACAUCUAUGAUGCCUCAGGUCAAAGGACUACUUUGCAUUAUCCCAACUAUGAGUUCUCAUGUGACAUGAAUAUGAGAACUCUUCAUUGAUCGUGUUCAGUGAACUCAUUCUCUAUUGAGCACCUACGUACUUGUCUUGAUGUCACACACACCAAUGACUCGAGACUAGUCACUCUCCCUGAGAGAAGACACAGUACGUACUGAUCUUAACGGACUGUCAAUGCCCAAUUGGCAAUCCUAUGAUCAGGAACAUUUAGGAUGUGUCUACGAAAGAAUUGUCUCAUGAAUCUAACUUCUUUAGAUCGUAUUCUCCCAAUCACAUAUUCCUUGGACUUUAUCGUUUAAGCAUAUAACAUUUAUAUGAGACGGCUCAAACAAUAAUGUUUGCCCUUUAUAGUUAAACUAGAUUAGUUUAACAUGUGAAAUGUCCGUAAAGUAUCAUCAUAUGAUUGGUUUUAGGGCACAUUUCCACCAAUCUUUCCUUGCUUCAAAUGAGUAAACUCUUGUUUCUUACGAUCAAUGUACUCAGGAGGAAUGAACCUUUUUCGAAACAGAUCUUUAAAUACUUCCCAGUCCGCAAUCUCCGCUGGGGUCAACUAGUAUGACUCCUGUUUCCACCAGGAUGCAUGCUACUCUCCCAAAAACCAGGUAGUCGUCUCGACCCACCUAUCAGGAGGAAGAUUCCCCUGACUCUGCAUCACUUGAACGGUCUUCUUAAUAUGAUUAAGCCAUUUUUCUGCCCCCUCAUGACCUUCAUUUCCAAUGAAAUGAGUCAACUUCAGGUUAUAAACUGUCUCAAGAGGUGUUCUUUGGGGAGUAUGGAAUGCAGACUGAAUGGCAGAUACUAUAGCUUCCCCUAAUUGAGCAAUAUCAGGGAAACUAGAUUCAGCUGAUUGACGAAGCUCUAUCCGAGGCAACAUAGUUCUGACAUAAGACAUCACAAGGAUUAGAACAUUCAAGAAUUAUACAGGACUGCUAAACAUAGGCUCUGAUACCAAACUGACACACCCCGACCGAGAUCAAGGCAUGCUGGCCAUCAUGUGAGAGUGACGUAGCCAUGUGCACAGUGCAGAAGCAAUAAAGAUAAGAAUUAUACGAAUAAUUAAAAACUGAAUAACUAGAGUGCACAACUAAACAGGAAGUGAUAGGAGUUAGUUACAACAGUAAACACUCCUAAUCAAACAUAAUAAGUCUAUGUGCAGUCUAGUAAGACAAGUACUAGUUAUACAGUACUAGGAAUGUCCUACUAUUAUUUAGAUAGGUCAAAACUGCUGACGUCGUUAAGCCACCAACAACAAGCUUACUUAAAACCUGGAGGGGUGCAAAACAGAAAACGUGAGUGGGCAAAAACAAAUGUUUUACAAAACCAUUUCAUUUAUCAACAUAUCUAACCCCUCGCUGUAAAACAUGUAUAAUUUUUCCCAAAAUUAAGAAAUAAGCGUAUACAUAAAUAUAUACGAAAUCAUAUCAAUUCAUGCUUCACAUAAUCAUUUUCAUAUGUAUACGAUGCUAAGAUAUAAUAGAGUAAGCAAUUCAGGUAAGAUUAAAUUCAUAGGAAUAAAACAUGUGAGCUGGAGCCCCUAAGGUAAUCUAUACGUUUGAAUUCAUAGCUCAAAGUUACUCUAGCCGGAGUCACUACAAUGGCCUAUACGGCAACAUACUGCACAAGAGUCGGAACCAAACAAACAGGUCUAUACGACAAUAAUGGGUGUAAUAUAAACAUGUUAAAUACCAUUCUCACAUAAUAGUUGGGCGAUAAAUCGCCAGUCACCUACGAGUCGGAACCAUAAUUAAGGUCUGUACAACAAGACUGUGCACCUAAAUUGGAUCCAAUAUGAGCAUAUGGUGCAAGAGGUGACAUAAUAAACAGGCAUGUGCCAUAUCUAUGGCUAAAUCACAAUCACCCUAAGUAUAGUUUUAUAAGCUCAACAUUAUUUAAUCACAUAUCAAAUCAUCGAUGAUUCAUAUAACCAAACAUAACCAAACAUAACUUACCUGGGCUUACCUUAGCGUCCACAGCACCACAAUUAUAUAUAUAACGUAUCACAUACCAAUUCAUACUUGAAUUAUAAUUUGUAUGCAUGGCAUUUAUGGCUACUAUCAUUUAAAACACAUAUUUCUGGUAAAAUAUCGAGUAUAUACUAUAUACUGAAAACCAAAAGCCCACUCACUGGUAUGUCGACGGGUCAUAACCCCCGAGUUGCCCUUGGAUACGCUCGUCCUCAGGAUAAGUCUCACCUAUAUGCGUAUUAACUAUAAAAACGUUAUUUUAGAGCAUAUAGACAAAACUAGCUAAUAACUUCUCAUACAUAGCUCAAAAUGGGUAUAUGAAUAUACUAUAGUGACCUACACAACCUCAGGAUCAUCCCCAAAUUUUUUAGAUUAAUUUUUGGAAGCCUCACACGCC